GCUACACUAUCUUUACUCAUUAAUCUGCUGAUUGACAAGGAGGCUCCUUCCUCAAGCCUGGCUGUUAAGGUGGAAUCAGCCAGUGUGGCUGGAGCAUGGCAUGAAGCGGUGAGCAAUGAAGCCAUCUCGUCAAAGGCAAGGUCUCCUACGCCAUGGAAAGGAGCCGAAAUAUGUUCUCCAUUCAGAGGGAAGCCAGGGAAAGCUUUGAAUCAUGGGAGUGACGUCAUCUGGUGCAAUUAGCCUUUUAGCAGAAGCACUGAGUGUUCUGUAGAAAACGGAAGCAAGGCUGUGUUUUAAUCUGGGAUGGUUUCGAAUGCAUAGACAUAUCGGACAAAUAUUUCUCAGGAAAUAAAAGUCAUGAACCUAUUGUACAUAAAAACUAACAGCUCUGGCCUUUACAUGAGUUGUUUUCUUACUCCUCAAGAAUGAUGCUAUCCAGAAUUUGUAGUGGAUGUGGCUCGUUGUUCCGAAGACCUGGGAACAAAAUGUUUCUUCAAGGCAGAGGGCAGCAAGUCUGUUGGACAGAGGUAUGUCCUGUUGAGCAAAAUGAUAAUUUCUCCUUCUCGACUUUACUGUUUAUAUCAUUUAUACCUUUUUAUAAGCGUGUCACACACAUGACAUUUAGGUUAGGACACAAAGUCCUGUUGCUCUAUAGACUUCAAUGUCAACAGAAAACUAUUUUCUCCCAUGUUUUCACUGUUCUCAAUAAACCAAACUCUUAAAAUGUCUACACUCA